rnacentral:rRNA from 1 species
UGCUGGGGGAUUAGUGGCGAACGGGUGAGUAACACGUGAGUAACCUGCCCUUAACUCUGGGAUAAGCCUGGGAAACUGGGUCUAAUACCGGAUAUGACUCCUCAUCGCAUGGUGGGGGGUGGAAAGCUUUAUUGUGGUUUUGGAUGGACUCGCGGCCUAUCAGCUUGUUGGUGAGGUAAUGGCUCACCAAGGCGACGACGGGUAGCCGGCCUGAGAGGGUGACCGGCCACACUGGGACUGAGACACGGCCCAGACUCCUACGGGAGGCAGCAGUGGGGAAUAUUGCACAAUGGGCGAAAGCCUGAUGCAGCGACGCCGCGUGAGGGAUGACGGCCUUCGGGUUGUAAACCUCUUUCAGUAGGGAAGAAGCGAAAGUGACGGUACCUGCAGAAGAAGCGCCGGCUAACUACGUGCCAGCAGCCGCGGUAAUACGUAGGGCGCAAGCGUUAUCCGGAAUUAUUGGGCGUAAAGAGCUCGUAGGCGGUUUGUCGCGUCUGCCGUGAAAGUCCGGGGCUCAACUCCGGAUCUGCGGUGGGUACGGGCAGACUAGAGUGAUGUAGGGGAGACUGGAAUUCCUGGUGUAGCGGUGAAAUGCGCAGAUAUCAGGAGGAACACCGAUGGCGAAGGCAGGUCUCUGGGCAUUAACUGACGCUGAGGAGCGAAAGCAUGGGGAGCGAACAGGAUUAGAUACCCUGGUAGUCCAUGCCGUANACGUUGGGCACUAGGUGUGGGGGACAUUCCACGNUUUCCGCGCCGUAGCUAACGCAUUAAGUGCCCCG